GACGAACGCUGGCGGCGUGCUUAACACAUGCAAGUCGAACGGAAAGGCCCUGCUUUUGUGGGGUGCUCGAGUGGCGAACGGGUGAGUAACACGUGAGUAACCUGCCCUUGACUUUGGGAUAACUUCAGGAAACUGGGGCUAAUACCGGAUAGGAGCUCCUGCUGCAUGGUGGGGGUUGGAAAGUUUCGGCGGUUGGGGAUGGACUCGCGGCUUAUCAGCUUGUUGGUGGGGUAGUGGCUUACCAAGGCUUUGACGGGUAGCCGGCCUGAGAGGGUGACCGGCCACAUUGGGCCCGAGAUACGGCCCAGACUCCUACGGGAGGCAGCAGGGGGGAAUAUUGCACAAUGGGCGGAAGCCUGAUGCAGCAACGCCGCGUGCGGGAUGACGGCCUUCGGGUUGUAAACCGCUUUCGCCUGUGACGAAGCGUGAGUGACGGUAAUGGGUAAAGAAGCACCGGCUAACUACGUG
rnacentral:rRNA from 1 species